rnacentral:pre_miRNA from 1 species
AGUGGAAUAACUAGAUCAAAUGGUGGUUCCAUUUCAAGUUUUCUGAGGAAUCUCCAUACUACUUUCCAGAAUGGUUGCACCAGUUUGCAGUCCUACCAGCAAU